rnacentral:rRNA from 5 species
AAAUUGAAGAGUUUGAUCAUGGCUCAGAUUGAACGCUGGCGGCAGGCCUAACACAUGCAAGUCGAACGGUAACAGGAAGCAGCUUGCUGCUUUGCUGACGAGUGGCGGACGGGUGAGUAAUGUCUGGGAAACUGCCUGAUGGAGGGGGAUAACUACUGGAAACGGUGGCUAAUACCGCAUAACGUCGCAAGACCAAAGAGGGGGACCUUCGGGCCUCUUGCCAUCAGAUGUGCCCAGAUGGGAUUAGCUUGUUGGUGAGGUAACGGCUCACCAAGGCGACGAUCCCUAGCUGGUCUGAGAGGAUGACCAGCCACACUGGAACUGAGACACGGUCCAGACUCCUACGGGAGGCAGCAGUGGGGAAUAUUGCACAAUGGGCGCAAGCCUGAUGCAGCCAUGCCGCGUGUAUGAAGAAGGCCUUCGGGUUGUAAAGUACUUUCAGCGGGGAGGAAGGUGUUGUGGUUAAUAACCACAGCAAUUGACGUUACCCGCAGAAGAAGCACCGGCUAACUCCGUGCCAGCAGCCGCGGUAAUACGGAGGGUGCAAGCGUUAAUCGGAAUUACUGGGCGUAAAGCGCACGCAGGCGGUCUGUCAAGUCGGAUGUGAAAUCCCCGGGCUCAACCUGGGAACUGCAUUCGAAACUGGCAGGCUUGAGUCUUGUAGAGGGGGGUAGAAUUCCAGGUGUAGCGGUGAAAUGCGUAGAGAUCUGGAGGAAUACCGGUGGCGAAGGCGGCCCCCUGGACAAAGACUGACGCUCAGGUGCGAAAGCGUGGGGAGCAAACAGGAUUAGAUACCCUGGUAGUCCACGCCGUAAACGAUGUCUACUUGGAGGUUGUGCCCUUGAGGCGUGGCUUCCGGAGCUAACGCGUUAAGUAGACCGCCUGGGGAGUACGGCCGCAAGGUUAAAACUCAAAUGAAUUGACGGGGGCCCGCACAAGCGGUGGAGCAUGUGGUUUAAUUCGAUGCAACGCGAAGAACCUUACCUGGUCUUGACAUCCACGGAAGUUUUCAGAGAUGAGAAUGUGCCUUCGGGAACCGUGAGACAGGUGCUGCAUGGCUGUCGUCAGCUCGUGUUGUGAAAUGUUGGGUUAAGUCCCGCAACGAGCGCAACCCUUAUCCUUUGUUGCCAGCGAUUAGGUCGGGAACUCAAAGGAGACUGCCAGUGAUAAACUGGAGGAAGGUGGGGAUGACGUCAAGUCAUCAUGGCCCUUACGACCAGGGCUACACACGUGCUACAAUGGCGCAUACAAAGAGAAGCGACCUCGCGAGAGCAAGCGGACCUCAUAAAGUGCGUCGUAGUCCGGAUUGGAGUCUGCAACUCGACUCCAUGAAGUCGGAAUCGCUAGUAAUCGUGGAUCAGAAUGCCACGGUGAAUACGUUCCCGGGCCUUGUACACACCGCCCGUCACACCAUGGGAGUGGGUUGCAAAAGAAGUAGGUAGCUUAACCUUCGGGAGGGCGCUUACCACUUUGUGAUUCAUGACUGGGGUGAAGUCGUAACAAGGUAACCGUAGGGGAACCUGCGGUUGGAUCACCUCCUUACCUUAAAGAA